AUUGAACGCUGGCGGCAGGCCUAACACAUGCAAGUCGAGCGGAUGAAGGGAGCUUGCUCCUGGAUUCAGCGGCGGACGGGUGAGUAAUGCCUAGGAAUCUGCCUGGUAGUGGGGGAUAACGUCCGGAAACGGGCGCUGAUACCGCAUACGUCCUGAGGGAGAAAGUGGGGGAUCUUCGGACCUCACGCUAUCAGAUGAGCCUAGGUCGGAUUAGCUAGUUGGUGGGGUAAAGGCCUACCAAGGCGACGAUCCGUAACUGGUCUGAGAGGAUGAUCAGUCACACUGGAACUGAGACACGGACCAGACUCCUACGGGAGGCAGCAGUGGGGAAUAUUAGACAAUGGGCGAAAGCCUGAUCCAGCCAGGCCGCGUGUGUGAAGAAGGUCUUCGGAUUGGAAAGCACUUUAAGUUGGGAGGAAGGGCAGUAAGUUAAGACCAUGCUGUUUUGACGUUACCAACAGAAUAAGCACCGGCUAACUUCGUG
rnacentral:rRNA from 1 species